rnacentral:rRNA from 1 species
UACGAAGGGGGCUAGCGUUGCUCGGAAUCGCUGGGCGUAAAGCGCACGUAGGCGGCUUUCUAAGUCAGGGGUGAAAUCCUGGAGCUCAACUCCAGAACUGCCUUUGAUACUGGGAAGCUCGAGUCCGGAAGAGGUGAGUGGAACUCCGAGUGUAGAGGUGAAAUUCGUAGAUAUUCGGAAGAACACCAGUGGCGAAGGCGGCUCACUGGUCCGGUACUGACGCUGAGGCGCGAAAGCGUGGGGAGCAAACAGG